rnacentral:rRNA from 1 species
UACGUAGGCAGCAAGCGUUGUUCGGAGUUACUGGGCGUAAAGAGUGUGUAGGCGGUUCGCUAAGUUUGGUGUGAAAUCUCCCGGCUUAACUGGGAGGGUGCGCCGAAAACUGGCGGGCUAGAGUGUGGGAGAGGGGAGCGGAAUUCCCGGUGUAGUGGUGAAAUGCGUAGAUAUCGGGAGGAACACCAGUGGCGAAGGCGACUACCUGGCCUGUUCUUGACGCUGAGGCGCGAAAGCUAGGGGAGCAAACGGG